rnacentral:rRNA from 1 species
UACGGGGGGGGCAAGCGUUGUUCGGAAUUACUGGGCGUAAAGGGCUCGUAGGUGGCCAACUAAGUCAGACGUGAAAUCCCUCGGCUUAACCGGGGAACUGCGUCUGAUACUGGAUGGCUUGAGUUCGGGAGAGGGAUGCGGAAUUCCAGGUGUAGCGGUGAAAUGCGUAGAUAUCUGGAGGAACACCGGUGGCGAAGGCAGCCCCCUGGGCUAACACUGACGCUCAUGCACGAAAGCGUGGGGAGCAAACAGG